rnacentral:rRNA from 1 species
AACGAACGCUGGCGGCAUGCCUAACACAUGCAAGUCGAACGAAGCCUUCGGGCUUAGUGGCGCACGGGUGCGUAACGCGUGGGAAUCUGCCCUUGGGUUCGGAAUAACAGUUAGAAAUGACUGCUAAUACCGGAUGAUGUCUUCGGACCAAAGAUUUAUCGCCCAAGGAUGAGCCCGCGUAGGAUUAGGUAGUUGGUGGGGUAAUGGCCCACCAAGCCGACGAUCCUUAGCUGGUCCGAGAGGAUGAUCAGCCACACUGGGACUGAGACACGGCCCAGACGCCUACGGGAGGCAGCAGUGGGGAAGAUUGGACAAUGGGCGAAAGCCUGAUCCAGCAAUGCCGCGUGAGUGAUGAAGGCCUUAGGGUUGUAAAGCUCUUUUACAGGGAUGAUAAUGACAGUACCUGGAGAAUAAGCUCCGGCUAACUCCGUGCCAGCCGCCGCGGUAAGAC